rnacentral:rRNA from 1 species
AUCCCGGUUUAGUUGGAAGUAGGCGUGCGUUAGGCAAAUCCGGCGCACAUAUACCGAGGCCAAUGAUCGAGCCAGCUUGCUGGUGUAGUGACUGAACGAGGUUCCAGGAAAAGCCACUAAGCUUCAGCUGCACACGACCGUACCGCAAACCGACACUGGUGCGCGAGAUGAGUGUUCUAAGGCGCUUGAGAGAACUCAGGAGAAGGAACUCGGCAAAUUGACACCGUAACUUCGGAAGAAGGUGUGCCCUAUUAGUGUGAAGUGAACAACGGAGCAUGAAUGGGUUGCAAAAAAUCGGUGGCUGCGACUGUUUAUUAAAAACACAGCACUCUGCAAACACGAAAGUGGACGUAUAGGGUGUGACGCCUGCCCGGUGCUGGAAGAUUAAAUGAUGGGGUGCAAGCUCUUGAUUGAAGUCCCAGUAAACGGCGGCCGUAACUAUAACGGUCCUAAGGUAGCGAAAUUCCUUGUCGGGUAAGUUCCGACCUGCACGAAUGGCGUAACGAUGGCCACACUGUCUCCUCCUGAGACUCAGCGAAGUUGAAAUGUUUGUGAUGAUGCAAUCUCCCCGCGGAAAGACGGAAAGACCCCAUGAACCUUUACUGUAGCUUUGUAUUGGACUUUGAACAGAUCUGUGUAGGAUAGGUGGGAGGCUUUGAAGCAGGGUCGCUAGAUCUUGUGGAGCCAACGUUGAAAUACCACCCUGGUGUGUUUGAGGUUCUAACCUAGGUCCAUUAUCUGGAUCGGGGACAGUGCAUGGUAGGCAGUUUGACUGGGGCGGUCUCCUCCCAAAGCGUAACGGAGGAGUUCGAAGGUACGCUAGUUACGGUCGGACAUCGUGACGAUAGUGCAAUGGCAUAAGCGUGCUUAACUGCGAGACUGACAAGUCGAGCAGAUGCGAAAGCAGGACAUAGUGAUCCGGUGGUUCUGUAUGGAAGGGCCAUCGCUCAACGGAUAAAAGGUACUCUGGGGAUAACAGGCUGAUACCGCCCAAGAGUUCAUAUCGACGGCGGUGUUUGGCACCUCGAUGUCGGCUCAUCUCAUCCUGGGGCUGUAGCCGGUCCCAAGGGUAUGGCUGUUCGCCAUUUAAAGAGGUACGUGAGCUGGGUUUAAAACGUCGUGAGACAGUUUGGUCCCUAUCUUCCGUGGGCGCUGCAGAUUUGAGGAAGCCUGCUCCUAGUACGAGAGGACCGGAGUGGACACACCUCUGGUGUAUCGGUUGUCACGCCAGUGGCAUUGCCGAGUAGCUAAGUGUGGAAGAGAUAACCGCUGAAAGCAUCUAAGCGGGAAACUCGUUUCAAGAUGAGAUCUGCCGGGGCCUCGAGCCCCCUGAAGAGUCGUUCAAGACCAGGACGUUGAUAGGUCGGGUGUGGAAGCGCAGCAAUGCGUUAAGCUAACCGAUACUAAUUGCUCGUGCGGCUUGACCCU